GACCACUCAUGAAAAUAGCAGGUUGCCUAACUCACCAGAGAACACUAAACCCAAAAUAAGCCCUCCACUGGAGCGCAAGAAGUGAUUAGAGGAGGUUGUCUCAGCCGAGAAGCCUGGAAAGUAUGGUCAAUAUAUUACUAGUUCAUGAACUUCACUCGGCCACCCAGCUGUGCCAGAGAAGCCAGAAGCUGCUUCAACUGGUCGCCACUGAAUUCAAGUGUGCUAUUGACAGCACUCUUAGCUGAUACAAAAUAAAUAUUUUCAGCCCUGA